UACGUAGGGGGCAAGCGUUGUCCGGAUUUACUGGGCGUAAAGAGCGUGUAGGCGGCCAAGCAGGUCCGUUGUGAAAACUGGAGGCUUAACCUCCAGACGUCGACGGAAACCGCGUGGCUAGAGUCCGGAAGAGGAGAGUGGAAUUCCUGGUGUAGCGGUGAAAUGCGCAGAUAUCAGGAAGAACACCAAUGGCGAAGGCAGCUCAUCUGGGACGGUACUGACGCUGAGACGCGAAAGCGUGGGAGCGAACAGG
rnacentral:rRNA from 1 species